GUCUGGUCUAAUAGUAUUAGAUUAUAAGAACUUAUUAACAUUGGUGUCACUAAAGUUGGUAUACAAUUGCCCUACUGCUAAAUUUGACUAGCUUA
rnacentral:Y_RNA from 1 species